rnacentral:rRNA from 1 species
AGAGUUUGAUCAUGGCUCAGAGUGAACGUUGGCGGCGUGGAUUAGGCAUGCAAGUCGAGCGAUCGUAGCAAUACGGGAGCGGCAAACGGGGUAGGAAUACAUCGGAACGUACCUUUUGGUUGAGAAUAGCGUUGGGAAACUGACGGUAAUACUCAAUAAAGUCGAGAGACCAAAGGUUUACUGCCGGAAGAGCGGCCGAUGCGAUAUUAGGUAGUUGGUGGGGUAAUGGCCUACCAAGCCUGAGAUGUCUAGGGGGGUGUGAGAGCAUGGCCCCCACCACUGGGACUGAGAUACUGCCCAGACACCUACGGGUGGCUGCAGUCGAGGAUCUUCGUCAAUGGGCGAAAGCCUGAACGAGCGACGCCGCGUGCGGGAUGAAGGCCCUUGGGUUGUAAACCGCUGUCAGGGGGGAUGAAACCGUAAGGUUGACAGAGCCCCAGAGGAAGCACGGGCUAAGUUCGUG